rnacentral:rRNA from 1 species
UGGAUUUCCAUUCCUCUUACCAUGUCAGUCGAGCGGAACGAUGAUAGCUUGCUAUCAGGCGUCGAGCGGCGGACGGGUGAGUAAUACUUAGGAAUCUACCUAGUAGUGGGGGAUAGCUCGGGGAAACUCGAAUUAAUACCGCAUACGACCUACGGGAGAAAGGGGGCAACUUGUUGCUCUCGCUAUUAGAUGAGCCUAAGUCGGAUUAGCUAGAUGGUGGGGUAAAGGCCUACCAUGGCGACGAUCUGUAGCUGGUCUGAGAGGAUGAUCAGCCACACCGGGACUGAGACACGGCCCGGACUCCUACGGGAGGCAGCAGUGGGGAAUAUUGGACAAUGGGGGCAACCCUGAUCCAGCCAUGCCGCGUGUGUGAAGAAGGCCUUUUGGUUGUAAAGCACUUUAAGCAGUGAAGAAGACUCCAUGGUUAAUACCCAUGGACGAUGACAUUAGCUGCAGAAUAAGCACCGGCUAACUCUGUGCCAGCAGCCGCGGUAAUACAGAGGGUGCAAGCGUUAAUCGGAAUUACUGGGCGUAAAGCGAGCGUAGGUGGCUUGAUAAGUCAGAUGUGAAAUCCCCGGGCUUAACCUGGGAACUGCAUCUGAUACUGUUAGGCUAGAAUAGGUGAGAGGAAGGUAGAAUUCCAGGUGUAGCGGUGAAAUGCGUAGAGAUCUGGAGGAAUACCGAUGGCGAAGGCAGCCUUCUGGCAUCAUAUUGACACUGAGGUUCGAAAGCGUGGGUAGCAAACAGGAUUAGAUACCCUGGUAGUCCACGCCGUAAACGAUGUCUACUAGUCGUUGGGUCCCUUGAGGACUUAGUGACGCAGCUAACGCAAUAAGUAGACCGCCUGGGGAGUACGGCCGCAAGGUUAAAACUCAAAUGAAUUUGACGGGGGGCCCGCACAAGCGGUGGGAGCAUGUUGGUUUAAUUCGAUGGCACCGCGAAGAAACCUUUACCUGGUCUUGGACAUAUCUAGAAUCCUGCAGAAGAUGGCGGGAGGUGCCUUUCGGGAAAUUUGAAAUUAGGGGUGGCUGCCAUGGCCUGGUCGUCAGCUCGAGGUCGGGAAAAUGUUGGGGAUUAAGGUUCCCAGCAACGGAGACGGCCAUCACCUGGUCCUUAAUUUUCCAUACGGGGUAUAGAUCCGGGGUAAUCU